rnacentral:rRNA from 1 species
UACGUAGGGUGCGAGCGUUGUCCGGAAUUAUUGGGCGUAAAGAGCUUGUAGGCGGUCUGUCGCGUCUGCUGUGAAAAUCCGGGGCUCAACCCCGGACUUGCAGUGGGUACGGGCAGACUAGAGUGUAGUAGGGGAGACUGGAAUUCCUGGUGUAGCGGUGAAAUGCGCAGAUAUCAGGAGGAACACCAAUUGCGAAGGCAGCUCGCUGGGACGUAACUGACGCUGAGACGCGAAAGCGUGGGGAGCAAACAGG